GCUAAACGCGAAGAACCUUACCAGGCCUUGACAUGCAGAGAACUUUCCAGAGAUGGAUUGGUGCCUUCGGGAACUCUGACACAGGUGCUGCAUGGCUGUCGUCAACUCGUGUCGUGAGAUGUUGGGUUAAGUCCCGUAACGAGCGCAACCCUUGUCCUUAGUUACCAGCACGUUAUGGUGGGCACUCUAAGGAGACUGCCGGUGACAAACCGGAGGAAGGUGGGGAUGACGUCAAGUCAUCAUGGCCCUUACGGCCUGGGCUACACACGUGCUACAGUGGUCGGUACAGAGGGUUGCCAAGCCGCGAGGUGGAGCUAAUCUCACAAAACCGAUCGUAGUCCGGAUCGCAGUCUGCAACUCGACUGCGUGAAGUCGGAAUCGCUAGUAAUCGCGAAUCAGAAUGUCGCGGUGAAUACGUUCCCGGGUCUUGUACACAC
rnacentral:rRNA from 1 species